UACGGAGGGUGCAAGCGUUGUUCGGAAUUACUGGGCGUAAAGAGUGCGUAGGCGGUUCGGCAAGUUGGAAGUGAAAUCCCGGGGCUCAACCUCGGAAUGGCUUUCAAAACUGCUGAUCUAGAGUAUGGUAGGGGAUAGUGGAAUUCCUAGUGUAGGGGUGAAAUCCGUAGAUAUUAGGAGGAACACCAGAGGCGAAGGCGACUAUCUGGGCCAUUACUGACGCUAAGGUACGAAAGCGUGGGGAGCAAACAGG
rnacentral:rRNA from 1 species